rnacentral:rRNA from 1 species
AUACGUAGGUGGCAAGCGUUGUCCGGAUUUAUUGGGCGUAAAGCGAGCGCAGGCGGUUUCUUAAGUCUGAUGUGAAAGCCCCCGGCUCAACCGGGGAGGGUCAUUGGAAACUGGGAGACUUGAGUGUAGAAGAGGAGAGUGGAAUUCCAUGUGUAGCGGUGAAAUGCGUAGAUAUAUGGAGGAACACCAGUGGCGAAGGCGACUCUCUGGUCUGUAACUGACGCUGAGGCUCGAAAGCGUGGGGAGCAAACAGGAUUAGAUACCCUGGUAGUCCACGCCGUAAACGAUGAGUGCUAAGUGUUGGAGGGUUUCCGCCCUUCAGUGCUGCAGCUAACGCAUUAAGCACUCCGCCUGGGGAGUACGACCGCAAGGUUGAAACUCAAAUGAAUUGACGGGG